UGUGCCUUAUGAAUCAGUGGAAGAAAAAAAGUAUUAUAAAAACUCAUAGGUCUUACACUAUUUCAUAUGUGCUGUUUAUACAUUAAAUACCAUCAACAUGUUCAUUGGACAAUUGAGGCCGAGAUUUGUGGGAUAGAUAGUAAAAGUACUGGGCUUUGGAGUAAAGGGAGAGUAACCACACCAACCACGAGACUCUGACCUGAACUGAAAUCAAGAGUCCAAUGCUUAAUUGACUGAGCCACCCAGGCUCCCCAAGACAACAUUGUUUAAAUAGCAACUAACAAUUCUUCUUCUCUUACUUUUGUUUUUGUUUUGUUUUACUGGCAAAUAUCACAUUCUUUAGAAGUUUUAAAGAGUAUAGAGCUUACAUUCAUUGCAUUGUAUAUAUUAGGGCAGAAAGACC